rnacentral:misc_RNA from 1 species
GAUGAAGAACGUAGCGAAAUGCGAUACGUAAUGUGAAUUGCAGAAUUCAGUGAAUCAUCGAAUCUUUGAACGCACAUUGCGCCUGCCAGCACUCUGGCAGGCAUGCCUGUUCGAGCGUCAUUUCAACCAUCAAGCCCUAGGCUUGCGUUGGAGCCCUGCGGCAGCCGCAGGCCCCUAAAAGCAGUGGCGGGCUCGCUAUCACACCGAGUGCGGUAGAUUACUCUUCGCUCAGGGCGUGUGGCGGGUUCCAGCCGUGAAACCCCCUACUUCUCAAGGUUGACCUCGGAUCAGGUAGGAAUACCCGCUGAACUUAAGCAUAUCAAUAAGCGGAGGA